UACGAAGGGUGCAAGCGUUAAUCGGAAUUACUGGGCGUAAAGCGUGCGUAGGCGGUCUUUUAAGUCCGUUGUGAAAGCCCUGGGCUCAACCUGGGAAUGGCAGUGGAUACUGGAAGGCUGGAGUACGGUAGAGGAGGGUGGAAUUCCCGGUGUAGCGGUGAAAUGCGUAGAGAUCGGGAGGAACACCCAAGGCGAAAGCACUCUGCUGGGCCGACACUGACACUGAGAGACGAAAGCUAGGGGAGCAAAUGGG
rnacentral:rRNA from 1 species